UGAGGAAUAUUGGGCAAUGCCCGCAAGGGUGGCCCAGCAACGCCGCGUGGAGGAUGAAUGUCGUAAGAUUGUAAACUCCUGUUAGAGGGGAAGAAUAGUACCGGUUGGACCGGUAUAUGACUGUACCCUCAGAGAAAGCCCCGGCUAACUACGUGCCAGCAGCCGCGGUAAUACGUAGGGGGCAAGCGUUGACCGGAUUUACUGGGUGUAAAGGGCGCGCAGGCGGGAUAAAAAGUCAGUGGUGAAAUCCUACAGCUUAACUGUAGAACUGCCUUUGAUACUUUUAUUCUUGAGUUCGGGAGAGAGAGACGGAAUUCCAGGUGUAGUGGUGAAAUACGUAGAUAUCUGGAAGAACACCAGUUGCGAAGGCGGUCUCUUGGUCCGACACUGACGCUGAGGCGCGAAAGCGUGGGGAGCAAACA
rnacentral:rRNA from 1 species